UACGGAGGGGGCUAGCGUUGUUCGGAAUUACUGGGCGUAAAGCGCACGUAGGCGGCUUUGCAAGUCAGAGGUGAAAGCCCGGGGCUCAACCCCGGAAUUGCCUUUGAGACUGCAUCGCUAGAAUUGUGGAGAGGUAAGUGGAAUUCCGAGUGUAGAGGUGAAAUUCGUAGAUAUUCGGAAGAACACCAGUGGCGAAGGCGGCUCACUGGAUCGGUAUUGACGCUGAGGUGCGAAAGCGUGGGGAGCAAACAGG
rnacentral:rRNA from 1 species